AUGCGUAAGGUACUCGUGUGCUCGUCCAGUCUCGUCGAUGCGAUCCUUAACCGUGACGCCGGAAGGCCAGGUUCCGCUUAUAGCUUGGUGUUUUUCCGUCCGGGCACCGGUCAGCUCUCAUGGGUGCUUCUGCUUACCACCAAUAUGUAUGGGUACAAGCAUGGGUACAAGUAUAGGGACAUUGCCUUGUACCGUGGAAAAAUCUUCACGCUCAUAUCAUCAGAGCAGCUCUUCACCCAUGAGAUUGAACAGCCAUGUCGCGUCAAGCAUGUCAUCAAGGAACACACACCGCUGCCGCCGGGGAUCGGUCCAUCGUCGCCGAAGUUUCUUGUGAAGUACUACAUAGUCGUCUCAUCCGAUAAUAGAAAGUUACUAAUGGUGCGGUGGAACAUCCCUCACGCGGCCUACAUUCAUCAUUCAAAGAUGAAUCUGCAAGUGUUCGAGGCAGAUUUUGAGAAGAGACAGUGGUUGGAUGUGAACUUGGAUGGCCAGGUCCUCUUCCUGAGCAGGACUUGCUCAAGGGCACUCGCGGGCUCGUCGACGGAACACUACGGGCAGACAUUUCGAGGAAAUCGUGUGUUUAUCUUGGACACUGACUGGGCAAGGAUACGGAGGCGGUUGAACCCAUGCACGUGCCAUGAUUGCGAGAAGCUCGCCAAUGGCGUUCCAAGCUAUUGCGUGUAUGACAUGACAAGUGGAAAGCUUAGCCUUGUUUCAUUAUGCAAAAGUCGUAGAAUGACAAAUCCAGGUGACAGGCAUGCGUUGAGUGAGGCGACUCUGGGGGUGACCCGGCUGCCUGCAACCCUUCCCACCAGCCGGGGUGUCGGCGGGGGGGGGGGGGGGGGGGGGGGGGGGGGGGGAGGUUUUGCGCUCUCGCGGAGGAUGAGGCAGAACAUGACGCUGGCGCAUCCAUCGUCGGAGUGCUGGGAGGCGGCUUCGCUUACGCCAUCAGAUGUACUAUGCGAAUUUCUCGCGGUUGGAUAUUCGAAGGAAGUCGUCGUCAAUCUGGUCAACGUCGUCGUUCUAUUUGACGAUCCGGCUAGGGCCAAGCUGCGAGCAGAAGAUAGAGUGGAUGUGCUGCGGCGGGUCGUCGACGGCUGGCCCGGGAACAGAUACUUAACGAUGAUGACCCUAAGAGGGACACGAUGCAUUGCGCCACCACUGCCGCUUUCAUCCUAA
rnacentral:rRNA from 1 species